UGGCGGCGUGCUUAACACAUGCAAGUCGAACGAACCUUCGGGUUAGUGGCGGACGGGUGAGUAACGCGUGAGAAUCUGCCCUCAGGAGGGGGAUAACGGCUGGAAACGGCCGCUAAUACCCCAUAUGCCGAAAGGUGAAACGAAAUUCGCCUGAGGAUGAGCUCGCGUCUGAUUAGCUAGUUGGUGGGGUAAAGGCCUACCAAGGCGUCGAUCAGUAGCUGGUCUGAG
rnacentral:rRNA from 1 species